rnacentral:misc_RNA from 1 species
AUCUGAGUGAAACAUAGCACGUUCAAGGAUAGCAAGAGAUAGAUCUAAUGAAUUUCCACCAUUGUUGUAGAUUUCCAGAUCAAGGGCCAUCACUUUUCCCUCAUUUGUGAACCCAACCUUAUACUUUCCGAGAAAGCUAUGGCGCUGCCCUGUAAUCAUCAUGUCUGUGUCCCUGUCUAAUGUGAUCUUCACAGGCCGAUUCAACAAAAAUGAGGGGACUGCUGCUGCUGCAGCAAACGUAGCCGACCUUGUUUCCUUCCCCCCAAAUCCACCACCAAUUCGUUUGGUUUUGCAAACUACUUUGGACAUUGGAAUCCCAAGCACACUAGAAACAUACUUCUGGUGCUUUUGAGGAGCUUGUGUUGAUGAAACCAGAUGAACUUCAUUACCAGAAUCCGAUGUCCAUACCACACUACUAUUUGGCUCCAAGUAAAAG